UUACCUCAAAUUUGUAUGGAGUCGGAACGUUUGCCUACGUUUGCCGCUAGGGGCGCUGUUCCAACUGCACACAAAUUUUACGCUA
rfam:Bombyx mori DNA, contig: Bm_scaf20_contig14527, strain: p50T/Dazao, build 2, whole genome shotgun sequence.